CAAGCUUCUCCUCAAUGAAUUACAUAGUAAUUAUCUUCAUCUCCUUUACAUUCCCUAAGUAAUGGAUAUCCUCCUGCAUUCCUUGAGAGACAGUGGUGAAACAGAGCCCUCAGGAAGAGGAGAGGACCUGUUUCUCUUUAUUAUCUGGGAGAGCUCUUCUACAAGUUAACCACCAGUCUGACGGAGAUAUUCCCGUGGAACUGUGCCUUUUUGGAUUAUGUUCCAGACCCUCCAUGACCUUCCCUGCAUGUGUCCUGUUCCAGUGGCAGAAAGUAGUGACGCAGUAAAUUGGUGUUCAAUUUAUCACCCUAAAUAUACACUUCCUCCCCUGCUGGUGGCUCAGCUCCAGCCACAUGAUGUACGGCAAUACUUGCUAAGGGAUCUUCGACAGCACAUCCUGA